rnacentral:rRNA from 1 species
GGAAUCUUCCACAAUGGGCGCAAGCCUGAUGGAGCAACACCGCGUGAGUGAAGAAGGGUUUCGGCUCGUAAAGCUCUGUUGUUAAAGAAGAACACGUAUGAGAGUAACUGUUCAUACGUUGACGGUAUUUAACCAGAAAGUCACGGCUAACUACGUGGCAG